AUCUGAACUCAAACAGGCAAGAUUACCCGCUGAAUUUAAGCAUAUUAAUAAGCGGAGGAAAAGAAACUAACAAGGAUUCCCCUAGUAACGGCGAGUGAAGCGGGAACAGCUCAAGCUUGAAAUCUGCACCUUGUAAAAAGGGUGCCGAGUUGUAGCUUUUGGAGGCACUAUUGAGUGGCUAAUCUUGGUAAAAGUCCUUUUGAAUAAGGCAUCAAAGAGGGUGAAAAUCCCGUAUUUGACCAGGAGUGUAAAUUAGCUGCGAUAUCAAGUGUUUUCUUUGAGUCGGGUUGUUUGGGAAUGCAGCCCUAAUUAGGAGGUAAAUUUCUUCUAAAGCUAAAUAUCUGCAAGAGACCGAUAGCAUACAAGUACCGUGAGGGAAAGAUGAAAAGCACUUUGAAAAGAGAGUGAAAAGUACGUGAAAUUGUUGGAAGGGAACCGGUUGAUGACCAAGCUUUUUUGGCUUCCUUUCGGGGGAGUUGGAGGGUCAACAUCGGUUGUUUUAUGGCUAGAAGGGAUCUGCGGGUUGACGGGGGAAAGGUAGUAAGCGUGUUGGGUAUUUAUACCUAGUGCGUUUAUGUUAUAGACCCCCACAGGCCCGCUUCAAAAGCUCUAUAGUUGUAGCGACCGAGGAAUGCAGUGUGUUUUUAUCCCUCGGGAUUUAGGGCGGUUUGUAGGGAUGCAUUUGUGGGGUUAUCUUUGGGGCUAGACAGCUUUGCUGACUAGUUCUGGUGCUCCAUAUGUACGCCUUGCAAGCUGACCAAGAAGCACUUUGGAUGUUGGCGAAAAGGCAUCAAUCGACCCGUCUUGAAACACGGACCAAGGAGUCCAACAUGCAUGCGAGUAUUUGGGAAAAGAUAAACCCAUGUGCGUAAUGAAAGUGAAUUUUAUUUAGAAUGUGACCUGCUUUAUUGUGGGGCAACAUCAACCGACUUUAGAUAGCGCUGCUUGAAAAGGUUGAGUAAGAGCAUGUAUGCUGGGACCCGAAAGAUGGUGAACUAUGCCUGAAUAGGGUGAAGUCAGAGGAAACUCUGAUGGAAGCUCGUAGAGAUUCUGACGUGCAAAUCGAUCUCAAAAUUUGGGUAUAGGGGCGAAAGACUAAUCGAACCAUCUACGUCGCUGGUUCCUGC
rnacentral:rRNA from 1 species